AGUGAACGCUGGCGGUAGGCCUAACACAUGCAAGUCGAACGGCAGCACAGUAAGAGCUUGCUCUUACGGGUGGCGAGUGGCGGACGGGUGAGGAAUAAAUCGGAAUCUACUUUUUCGUGGGGCGGAAGAUAGGGAAUUUAAGCGAAAGCCAACACCGCACAAUCGUGGUAAUUACGGGAUAAUUAGAUCAUAGGUGCAUUGAUACAACUACGAGGGGGUCGGCCGUUGGAUGGGCUAGUUGGCGGGGUAGCGGCCCACCAAGGCGAGGAUCCAGAGCUGGUCUGGGGGGAUGAUCAGCCACACUGGAACUGAGACACGGUCCAGACUCCUACGGGGGGCAGCAGUGGGGAAUAUUGGACAAUGGGCGCAAGCCUGAUCCAGCCAUACCGCGUGGUUGAAGAAGGCCUUCGGGUUGUAAAGCCCGUUUGUUGGGAAAGAAAAGCAGCAGGUUAAUACCCCGCUGUUCUGACGGUACCCAAAGAAUAAGCACCGGCUAACUUCGUG
rnacentral:rRNA from 1 species